rnacentral:rRNA from 1 species
UACGGGGGGGAGCAAGCGUUGUUCGGAUUUACUGGGCGUAAAGGGCGCGUAGGCGGUCAGCACAAGUCAGUUGUGAAAUCUCCGGGCUUAACUCGGAAAGGUCAACUGAUACUGUGCGACUAGAGUGCGGAAGGGGCAACUGGAAUUCCCGGUGUAGUGGUGAAAUGCGUAGAUAUCGGGAGGAACACCAGUGGCGAAGGCGACUACCUGGCCUGUUCUUGACGCUGAGGCGCGAAAGCUAGGGGAGCAAACGGG